rnacentral:rRNA from 1 species
GACGUAGGGCGCGAGCGUUGUCCGGAUUUAUUGGGCGUAAAGAGCUCGUAGGCGGUGUGUCGCGUCGGCCGUGAAAACUUGGGGCUUAACUCUGAGCGUGCGGUCGAUACGGGCAUCACUUGAGUUCGGCAGGGGAGACUGGAAUUCCUGGUGUAGCGGUGAAAUGCGUAGAUAUCAGGAGGAACACCUGCGGUGUAGACGGCUUACUGGACGGUAACUGACGCUGAGGCACGAAAGCGUGGGUAGCAAACAGG